CAAUAGCGUAUAUUAAAGUUGUUGCGGUUAAAAAGCUCGUAGUUGGACUUCUGCGGGUGGCGGCCGGUCGUGCUCGAAACGGGCGUGAACUUGGCGUGCUGCCCGCAUCUUUGGGGAGAUUGUGCGUGGCAUUAAGUUGUCGUGCAUGGGAUUCUCAUCAUUUACUGUGAAAAAAUUAGAGUGUUUAAAGCAGGCCUUUGCCUUGAAUACAUUAGCAUGGAAUAAUAAGAUAGGACCGUUGUCUAUUUUGUUGGUUUACAGAUGUCGGUAAUGAUUAAUAGGGAUAGUUGGGGGUAUUCGUAUUCAGUUGUCAGAGGUGAAAUUCUUGGAUUUUCGGAAGACGCACGACUGCGAAAGCAUUUACCAAGGAUGUUUUCAUUAA
rnacentral:rRNA from 1 species